rnacentral:rRNA from 1 species
UACAGAGGGUGCGAGCGUUGUCCGGAAUCACUGGGCGUAAAGGGCGCGUAGGUGGCCUGAUAAGUAGGGGGUGAAAUCUCGAGGCUCAACUUCGAGGCUGCCUCCUAAACUGUCAGGCUUGAGCAGAGUAGAGGCAGGUGGAAUUCCCGGUGUAGCGGUGGAAUGCGUAGAGAUCGGGAGGAACACCAGUGGCGAAGGCGAGUCUCUGGGAUGAUGCUGACGCUGAGGCGCGAAAGCCAGGGGAGCAAACGGG